rnacentral:rRNA from 1 species
CCUACGGGAGGCUGCAGUAGGGAAUAUUGCUCAAUGGGGGAAACCCUGAAGCAGCAACGCCGCGUGGAGGAUGAAGGUUUUCGGAUUGUAAACUCCUUUUGUUAGAGAAGAUAAUGACGGUAUCUAACGAAUAAGCACCGGCUAACUCCGUGCCAGCAGCCGCGGUAAUACGGAGGGUGCAAGCGUUACUCGGAAGCACUGGGCGUAAAGCGCGCGUAGGCGGGGUAGCAAGUCAGAUGUGAAAUCCUAUGGGUUAACCAUAGAACUGCAUUUGAAACUGUUAUUCUAGAGUAUGGGAGAGGUAGGUGGAAUUCUGGGUGUAGGGGUGAAAUCCGUAGAGAUCAAGAGGAAUACUCAUUGCGAAGGCGACCUGCUAGAACAUAACUGACGCUGAUGCGCGAAAGCGUGGGGAGCAAACAGGAUUAGAUACCCGGGUAGUC